rnacentral:rRNA from 1 species
AACGAACGCUGGCGGCAUGCCUAACACAUGCAAGUCGAACGAGACCUUCGGGUCUAGUGGCGCACGGGUGCGUAACGCGUGGGAAUCUGCCCUGGGGUGCGGAAUAACUCGGAGAAAUCCGUGCUAAUACCGCAUAAUGUCUUCGGACCAAAGAUUUAUCGCCCUGGGAUGAGCCCGCGUAGGAUUAGCUAGUUGGUGGGGUAAGGGCCUACCAAGGCGACGAUCCUUAGCUGGUCUGAGAGGAUGAUCAGCCACACUGGGACUGAGACACGGCCCAGACUCCUACGGGAGGCAGCAGUGGGGAAUAUUGGACAAUGGGCGAAAGCCUGAUCCAGCAAUGCCGCGUGAGUGAUGAAGGCCCUAGGGUUGUAAAGCUCUUUUACCCGGGAUGAUAAUGACAGUACCGGGAGAAUAAGCUCCGGCUAACUCCGUGCCAGCCGCCGCUGUAACAC